AGUCGGACAAUAAUUUGAAAUAUCUGAUCAAAGUGAAGGCAAUAGGCAAGCACCUUAUUACAAGGUACUUUGGGGAUUUUGUGUUAAAAAUGGUUUAUCGUGAAAUCUCUGUAACGUCAUCAAGAUGGUGAUACUGCUGAGAGUAUUUCACGGACAGAUGGUUAAGAACCAGUCUUAGGCCCUAGUCCUACGGUCUUUAUUGAACUGUAGAUAUGCAUGUAACUCAGUCUUUUAUGUUU